rnacentral:lncRNA from 1 species
CGCCCUUGACGCGCUUAGGAGGACUCUGGUGUUGUGGGAGGGGUGUCGUCCCCUUCCUGGGCUCCUUCCUCACCGAGCUCUUCAUGCUGGAUACUGCCAUGGAGGAGUACCUGGAGGGCAAUGAGGUCAACCACCGGAAGAAGAACAAGGAGUACCGAGUCCUGACCGAGAUCCUGCUGCUCCAGGUGGCCGCGGAUCGGUACCGCAUCGAGCCCGAGCAGCCGUUCCGGGCCUGGUUCCAGUCUGGGACGUGGGCUCAGCGAGGAGGAGAGCUACACCCUGUCCUGCCAGCUGGAGCCCCGAGCCGGCCACCAGACAGGAGGAGCUGGCCGCAGUCACCCUCAGGCCUGAGCCGAGGUGCAGGGGCCUCAAGGGGACGGGGCCCGUCUGUGCGACACCACUUCCUCCCGCCUCUUCUAUUGGGAGGACGAUAUGUCAUGGUCUUAACUCAUAAAUGGAAGAUUUCAAUGUUGUGAUAUUAAAGCCGCUUUACUGUCCAGGAGUCGUUUGGGUCUUUUGCUUCCUGUUGGAAUCUAAGAGAAUCAAAAGGUCUCAUAGUCAUUUUCUAUCUUU